CUGACUGACGAUGCUCUCUUUUCUAUUGGUCCUGCAGUCUCUCAUGAUCGCCGCAGUUCCCAAACAUCAUUGGGUGGCUUGCAAUAUCAUUUGCAAAUGACUCCGUAUUUUUGUUCAUGGGCCGAUUGUUGGAAGGGUUUGGGAUUGGUGUGAUUCCUACACAGUUCCUGGUUUCCUCACUUAUGUUAUGUGAAAAUGUGAGGGAAUCACUGGGGAACCGCCAUUGGGGAUGCGGGAAUCACAUGCCGCCGCCACCUGGACGCGCUAGCCACUGCUACCACAGGGGACACGGGCGCACGUGGCAGCCGCUGCUGCCACAGGAGCCACGGGCUCAAGUGGAAGUCGUCAUUGCCUCAGGUCCUUCGAUCGUGCGGCUGGCUUCGAUUCUUCAGUGACAGCUGAAUUAGCUGAAGGCGACAAUGAGCAUCAAUUUGUUUUCCUUAGAUGAACAUUCUACAUUAAGUUGUAACUUCUUCAGUACAGGUUGCAUGCAAUUUUUUUAUGGAAAUAAAGUUAUAUUGCAAGAACUGGAACUGAAGGAAGACCCAAACUCUGAGCACCACAUUCUCUAAGGGCCCUUCUAUUUGAAAUACACUUAUGCAGAAGUAUGCCCUUAUUGCUUUUGUAAUGUAUGUGACUUCUUAUUUGAAAUACACUUAUGCAGAAGUAUGACUUCAGUGCUAUUGUACUAUAUGUGACUGACAUCUAGAUGCACUUCUGAAGAUCAUUUGUAUGUCUUGCAUGUGGCAUAAUUGUAUGUGUGACCGACUUCAUUUUUAUACGUGCGUUGCACGUGCACGCU